CCAGUGCUUUAUCCUGGCUCUGUCUUGAGCCUCCAAGGUACUGCGCUUUAUGAUGGGGCUGGGUUUGGCAGCCACUUCCCCGGAUGCAAUGUUUAUACCAGCAGCUAUGCAUAUUUCGGAGAUGAGGCUUGGAAAGAUCAUUGAGCUGUGCCUGUCUCCCAAGGUACCCACAUGAUGGAACUGAUUAUAGCAGAGAGUGGCAAGAUCAACCUUAUUACCUCGCACCAAGUGAUAAAGGAAUCCAGCUGUGGGAUCUGUGAAUGUGGUCCUGUGAGAGGUUGGCUCAAUGUUGUGGCA
rnacentral:lncRNA from 1 species